GUGGGGAAUUUUGGACAAUGGGCGCAAGCCUGAUCCAGCAAUGCCGCGUGCAGGAAGAAGGCCUUCGGGUUGUAAACUGCUUUUGUACGGAACGAAACGGUCCUGGCUAAUAUCCGGGGCUAAUGACGGUACCGUAAGAAUAAGCACCGGCUAACUACGUGCCAGCAGCCGCGGUAAUACGUAGGGUGCGAGCGUUAAUCGGAAUUACUGGGCGUAAAGCGUGCGCAGGCGGUGCUGUAAGACAGGCGUGAAAUCCCCGGGCUCAACCUGGGAAUUGCGCUUGUGACUGCAGUGCUGGAGUGCGGCAGAGGGGGAUGGAAUUCCGCGUGUAGCAGUGAAAUGCGUAGAUAUGCGGAGGAACGCCGAUGGCGAAGGCAAUCCCCUGGGCCUGCACUGACGCUCAUGCACGAAAGCGUGGGGAGCAAACAGGAUUAGAAACCCGUGUAGUCC
rnacentral:rRNA from 1 species